GACGAACGCUGGCGGCGUGCUUAACACAUGCAAGUCGAACGAUGAAGUUCCUUCGGGAUUGGAUUAGUGGCGAACGGGUGAGGAACACGUGAGAAACCUGCCUUUCAUUUUGGGAUAACUCCGGGAAACCGGGGCUAACACCGAAUACUCCGUCUCGGCGGCAUCGCUGAGCCGGGAAAAAAUUUUGAUGAAAGAUGGUCUCGCGGCCUAUCAGCUAGUUGGUGAGGUAAUGGCUCACCAAGGCAACGACGGGUAGCCGGCCUGAGAGGGCGACCGGCCACACUGGGACUGAGACACGGCCCAGACUCCUACGGGAGGCAGCAGUGGGGAAUAUUGGGCAAUGGGCGCAAGCCUGACCCAGCGACGCCGCGUGAGGGAUGAAGGCCUUCGGGUUGUAAACCUCUUUCAGUAGGGAGGAAGCGAAAGUGACGGUACCUAAAGAAGAAGCACCGGCUAACUAUGUGCCAGCCGCCGCUGUAA
rnacentral:rRNA from 1 species